UGUAUAUGGUGUGGUGUGCAGUGUGGUAUGCAUUCCAGGAGGAGGUGAUCUGUUUCUGGGCUUCUUCUUUGGUGACUUGUGUCCUCCAUUUUUCUGGUCUGCUAAGUCACCUGUCUACCACUGCUCUCUGUCACCCCUAAUUAAGUUGCUCUGCCUGCUGACUCCCAUUACCCUUUUGUGUUGAUGUUACUAAUUUUUCUGGUAUUUUAUUUAUUUUUACUUUAUGUGUUUGAGUGUUUGCCAAAAUUGAUCUCAGUGUACCAUUUUGCAGUGCCCUAGCAGAGGGCAUCUGGUAGCCUGGAACUAGAGUUAGGGACAACUGUGAGCCACCAUGUGGGUGCCAGGAACUGAGCUCCAGCCCUCUGAAAGAGCAGCCAGUGCUCUUACCUACUGAAUCAUCUCCCCACGCCUUUUUGUUAGGAUUUAAGACAGAGUCCGUCUGUAUGGCCCAGAUUGGUCAUGAACUCAUGAUCCUCCAGCCUCCAACCCCUAAGUGUAAGGGUGACCUUGCUUGGCUAAGCCUUCCUCUUUAAACAAAACAACCCACUUCUGCUACUUUCUAGAGGGAGUGUAAUACGAGUCAAUAUUGAGCCACAACUGUUACUGGAAAUAGCUUAAUAAUGGGUUUUAAGUUAUUUUUAUUUAGUGUGUGUGGGGGUGUGUUGUGAGUGAGCUCUCAUGUAGAGGCUUACAGCACUGGGUGAGGUCAGAGGACAGCUUGGGUUUCCUCCUUCCACUAAGUUUCAAGGAUCAAACUUAGGCCAUCAGACUUGUACAGCAGGAACUUUUACCCAAUGAGCCAUCUCCUUGUGGAUUUUCUUCUUCUCGCUCAACUUUUGUUAUAAAGUCUUCCAAACAUGAAGACAGUAGAAUGUCUACUUCAAUGCACAAAUGCGCUUGUGUGCUUGACAAUGAACUCUUUGUAUCUCCUUUGUGUGUGUGAGAUAUUCUGCACAUGUGCGUGCCUUUGUAUGAAAUAGGUAUAUUUAUGUUUGUUUGCUUUUGCUGUAGCAUUUGAAGAUAGAUGGCAGAUAUUAUGUCAAUCCUAGAAAGUUUAGCAUGUAUUUCCCAAGAACAGAUGUGUUCUCGUAGGGAAGCAUAUCAUUAUUAUACAGAAAGAAAGUUUUUGAAAAUAGGCCUGCAAUAUCAUCUGACACCUGUGUACAAACCAGUCUACUGUUUAAAAACUUCUACUGUCGCUUUUUAUUUCCCUUAGUAAGCUUCUUCCCUUUAUAGUUAGUUCAAUUAAACGGUAUGGUGGCGCACACCUUUUAAUCGCAGCACUCAGGAGGCAGAGGCCGGUGAACCUCUGAGUUAGAGGCCAGCCUGGUCUACAGAACAAGUACCAGGAGGGGAGAAAUACGAGUUCAGUUAAGGUAAACAUACCCCAGUUGACACUUGCUUUUUGAAUAGAGCAAAUCUUUCCAUCUUUUAUUUUAUUUUGUUUUGACUUUUGGUUCUAUUUAAUCUUGAACAUACUCGCACCCAUAGAGUCAGCUGAAUUACUAGACAUGUGGCCCUGGUAAGGAGAAGUUGGUGAAAACUUACGGAGAUAGAACACAUUUUAUUGCACAGCAAACACGGUGGCUGUUUUUGUACCUCCUGCACUGCUAAUCUAAAGCUUAAGGAAGCUCUGGGUUGUGUGGUUCAUUAGCUUUUAAAAUAAAGAAACAGUAUUGAUGUUAGGAGUGAGGGGAAUUAUAUUUAGAGCUCUCCAAGUCUAGCCCAUGUCACCUUGUCCCCUUUGCCAGCGUUCAGCCUCAUGACUUUUGUUUGCCUCAUAUUGAAUCUGAGGCUAAGCUCAAAGGGCAUGCAUUUUUGUGUAUGACUAAGGGCUGAUCUCCGAAAUUAUCAGACAUUCCUCGCAUUCCAUAUGUCUAAUUUUUAGUGCUUGAUGGAUCUGGUGCCAGAAGAAAACAGGCUAGAGAGGAGGAGGAAACACCACCAAAGAAAGUCUCCACAGAAGUAGAAAAAUCCAGCCAUACGUUUAACGAGCAAAGUAAACUCGUGGGAUGGAAUUGAUUUGUAGCAUGUCAAUGCCAUUCCUUAGGCUGCUUAGGAGCACUGCUCAGUUUUCUGAUACUUGAUUCCUGAAAUUUCAAUCCAGGAGCUUUAGAGAAUCUGUGAUUCCUUCCAUCUGGAUUCGUGGUGUGCUCAGGGCCAGCACACGGCGUUUUAGUAAAAUAACUCCUCGUAAGCAUUGUGGGAGUGACCUAAUGUGACUGAUGGGAGCCGUAGAGGUGUGGUCAUGACAGUCAGAUGUAGUGACCGUACUGAAGGAGUACCAACUGUUGUUUUGUCUCCCCGGGGCUUCGGGAGCCAUGGGGGUGUGCAGAGAGGAAGAUGUUAUCAGUCAGGCAUGAAGGUUUCUGUGACAGAUAGCACACUCAUAUUGGUCAGCACUGCUAAGGAAAUAUGCAACUUGUAUACUCCAGCGACCUCUUGCCCAUACAGACCUCGAGUGGACUGACGAUUCAAAUAGGGAAGCACUCACCUAACCCACAAGUGUCAGGGCUGGGCUUCAGACACAGUCAUCAGUCACUAAAAUGUGCGCUCAAAACUCAGAUCUGUCUUGGUCAAAUAUUACAGCCUCUACAAGUACGUCGAAUUAGAUUCUCAUGUUGAUAACUGAAGCACAGAUUUUGUAAAUUUAUUGGGAAAUAAUUUAAUCCUACACAGACAUUGUAGGAUCCCAGUCAGCAACUUUAAAUGUCUGUUGUCUCCUUUGGUGUUAAUCAGGAAUCAGGAAACGUAAGUAAGAGGAAUGUCCCCUCAUCUUAAGUAAGGCAUCCUAUAUAAGAUAUGUGUACAGACGUUCUGUAGAUCUGAGUGUAACUGAGUUAUAUCUAAAUAAAAAAAUUACCCAGUGUUCCUAAGAAAACCAGUAACAUACACGGAUGUAGACAUCCACUUUCUGCAUGUCACGCUCCUUGACCUGGUAAGCACACUGCGGAUGUGCUCUCUGUCCAGCACGAGAGCUGCAGGUUUACAGGGGCCGUCUGACUCCUUUUACCGCCUCAAGCUUUCUUUGGAAGAAUCAGACUGGAUUUGAUCGUCUAGGAUUGUGGUCUGAUGCCUCCCUGGCCCUUAGUGCUGGAGUGCCUUAUUAGCCCAGAGGCCUGGUUUCAGGGCCCAGGAAGAUCUCAACACCAAAUGCUACAUGAGAUGACUCAGCCAAAGCUCAGGCUUUGCUCACUGCUGCACUCCAGCCUUGGAAGGAAGCUUAUUCAGUAAGUCCCACAGGCAUGCGCUGAGACCAAUGGGUGGUCUGGCCAGGCAAGUUUGACAGAGGUGAGACUUGCUAAACUCUAGUUUUGCAUUGUGGGCAGUAAAUUUCAGUCCAUAUGAGAUUCAUUUGCUUCGUCUCUGAAUGCACAACCGCUGUGAGAAUAUGAAAAGAUGAAGACCAUAGAGUGGAAUGGAAAGGUCAGACGCUUCCCCAGGUCAUCGGGUCUUAGCGCUUCUGGCCCUUUCUACGCUGGUAGGCUAGGGGCCUUCAUUAGCCACAGCUCUGUGAUGUAACUGAACAUUCCUUUCAGAAAGAGAGGCUUUGCGGCUGUGGCAUCCCAAAACUUCCCCAAGUCCGGCACUUUGCCCCAGGCACUGGCCCACAUCAUUUAGUGUGUGUGUGUGUGUGUGUGUGUGUGUGUGUGUGUGUGUGUGUGUGUGUGUGUGUGUGUGUGUACGUACCUGUGUGUAGCUGUGUGGCAGGUGCCACUCUUCUGAGGUCACCUUUAUAAAUCUGCAUCGGCCAACAUGCUCCUCUAACCUAGAGCUUAUCCAAGAGUACUUCAUGUGGUGUUGUUUGGGCACCUUUAAAAUCCCCAACAACGCCAGAUUGUUAUAGAACUACCAAAGAGACUGUGGCCUUAACAGUGGAGGAAAUAGGUUAGUGACAUGAAAAGUUUAAAGCGUAUUAUUGAGUGAAAAGUAAACAGAAGUAGAUCGCUUAUGUAAAAAGCAUACCACGUAUUUUCCUGGCUCCUUGUAAAGUCUAGAAAGACAGGUGAUUGUCAUAGAAGGAACUUCCUAGGAGAAGGAUGUGGGAACUUGAGUAUUUGCUACAACGCUGCAGUGUUUUACAAAGAUGUAUUUUUUAAUUUCCUACUAGAAUUUUGGCUUUUGCUUGUUUAUUUGUUUCGCUUUUCAAGACAGGCUUUCACUGUGUAGCUCUGGUUGUCCUGGAACUCACAUUGUAGACCCGACUGGCUUCUAGAACUCACAGAGCUCCCUGCCUUCCAAGCGCUGGGAGUACAUUUGCAUAACAAGGUUUUAACAGUGAUCUUCACAAGUCACCAGCUGCUAAGGUAUGUCUGUCCCUUGGCAUACAAAGAUGAAAAACCAGUAGGACUUCUGUGAACUGAGCUAACCAAGAAAUGUAAACACUGUGAAAUAUCAGAAUGGGAAAAUGUUUUUCAAAGCUUAUAAAAUGACACUAAUUAGUGUCAUCCCAGAGAUGAAGACGGCUUCCUCAGCAAGGUGCUUGAAUCAUAAAGGCUAACAUGGACUGCCUCACCGGCGUUACUUGAAGAAUUUUCUGAUAGUGUGGCAAGAAGACGCAACAAACAUAAUUUGUUUCCAAAGGAAGCACAUAGGUGGCACUGUGGAAGCCCUGGCCACCAUUGUGUACAGGACAAACUACCAGAGGGUAGAGCCAAACUCUGUCUUGCGUCUCGGUGUCACGGCUAAGCGAGCUUGCUUUCAGCUCCUCUGAUGGGGUAGUGCCCUCCUUGCAGCUGGUAUCACUGCUGGGUUUCCGGAAGAGGAACUGUUAGACUCAGGUUCCUCAGCUAACGGUUGCUUCAGUCCUUUAAAAAAAAAAAAAAAAAAGGAAAGUCAAAUGUUUGUUUUAUUUAGCCUUGCAACCAUCUAUAGAUUUUUGUU